GACGUAGGGCGCGAGCGUUGUCCGGAUUUAUUGGGCGUAAAGAGCUCGUAGGCGGCUUGUCGCGUCGACUGUGAAAUCCCGCGGCUCAACUGCGGGUCUGCAGUCGAUACGGGCAGGCUAGAGUUCGGUAGGGGAGACUGGAAUUCCUGGUGUAGCGGUAAAAUGCGCAGAUAUCAGGAGGAACACCGGUGGCGAAGGCGGGUCUCUGGGCAAUAACUGACGCUGAGGAGCGAAAGCGUGGGGAGCGAACAGG
rnacentral:rRNA from 1 species